AUUGAACGAUGGCGGCAGGCCUAACAAAUGCAAGUCGAGCGAGCGGCGGACGGGUGAGUAAGGUCUGGGAAAUUGCCGGAUGGAGGGGGAUAAAUACUGGAAACGGUAGAUAAAACCGCAUAUCAUAAGAUGUGCCAAGAUGGGAUUAGCUAGUAGGGGGGGUAAAGGCUCACCUUGGCGACGAUCCCUAGCUGGUCUGAGAGGAUGACCAGCCACACUGGAACUGAGACACGGUCCAGCCUCCUACGGGAGGCAGCAGUGGGGAAUAUUGCACAAUGGGCGCAAGCCUGAUGCAGCCAUGCCGCGUGUAUGAAGAAGGCCUUCGGGUUGUAAAGUACUUUCAGCGGGGAGGCGUUACCCGCAGAAGAAGCACCGGCUAACUCCGUGCCAGCAGCCGCGGUAAUUC
rnacentral:rRNA from 1 species